rnacentral:rRNA from 1 species
GACGAACGCUGGCGGCGUGCCUAAUACAUGCCAGUUGAGCGAUGAAGAUUGGUGCUUGCACCAAUUUGAAGAGCAGCGAACGGGUGAGUAACGCGUGGGGAAUCUGCCUUUGAGCGGGGGACAACAUUUGGAAACGAAUGCUAAUACCGCAUAACAACUUUAAACAUAAGUUUUAAGUUUGAAAGAUGCAAUUGCAUCACUCAAAGAUGAUCCCGCGUUGUAUUAGCUAGUUGGUGAGGUAAAGGCUCACCAAGGCGAUGAUACAUAGCCGACCUGAGAGGGGGAUCGGCCACAUCGGGACUGAGACACGGCCCAAACUCCUAAGGGAGGCAGCAGUAGGGAAUCUUCGGCAAUGGACGAAAGUCUGACCGAGCCACGCCGCGGGAGUGAAGAAGGUUUUCGGAUCGGAAAAAUCUGUUGGUAGAGAAGAACGUUGGUGAGAGUGGAAAGCUCAUCAAGUGACGGUAACUACUCAGAAAGGGACGGCUAACUACGUG